GAUAUAUUUCUUUUAAUCAAUUGAUUUAAAUAAUUUGAUUAACAUUACAUUCAAUAUUAAAUAAUAGAUUGAUAGAUUUAUGGAUUUAUAAUACCCUGGAAUUUGAUAAGUUUAUUGAUAAAAUUCUUAAACAAAAUCUUAAUUUAUCAGAACAGGUUACGAAAGAUAAUCUCUAUUAUGUAAAUUAAUUCUUAUUAGUACACUAUGCAAACAAUAAAGAUUUAUUUGCACACAGACUUUUUUAUGAGAUAGUAAUUACUAGUUGAUAUUUAUUUAUUUAAGCUUACAGACUUUACGUCAUGUCAGAGGCUUAUGUGUUAACUUACGAACAAUUAAGUUGCGCCAGAGGUUCAUUAAUUCACUAGUGUAUACUAUUUUUCAAGAAAAAUGAAAACAAAUAGUUACGAUCGAACCUGUUCAUUAUUAUGAUAAUUGUAUUUGUAUUUUUUUUUUCGUUUUAUUAUAACUUAUUAUUUAAACUGAAUGUAUUGAAUAAUAAAAUUAUAAUUCGAAUUCACUAUUUUCCAAAGAUCUUUAUUUAAUAAAAAAUGUAUUAUAUUUUCCUCAAAAUAAUAAAAAAAAAUGUAUUAUUAAGUUUGAUUGUAUAAUAAAAUGUAAUAAAAACAUUAUGUAACAGUAAUUUUG